rnacentral:rRNA from 1 species
UGGGGAAUUUUGCACAAUGGGGGAAACCCUGAUGCAGCGACGCCGCGUGAUUUAGAAGGCCUUCGGGUUGUAAAAAUCUUUUGUAUGGGAAGAAAAUGACAGUACCAUACGAAUAAGGACCGGCUAAUUACGUGCCAGCAGCCGCGGUAAUACGUAAGGUCCGAGCGUUGUCCGGAAUCAUUGGGCGUAAAGGGUACGUAGGCGGGUAAGCAAGUUAGAAGUGAAAUCCUGUAGCUCAACUACAGUAAGCUUUUAAAACUGCUCAUCUUGAGAUAUGGAAGGGAAAGUGGAAUUCCUAGUGUAGCGGUGAAAUGCGCAGAUAUUAGGAGGAAUACCGGUGGCGAAGGCGACUUUCUGGCCAUAAUCUGACGCUGAGGUACGAAAGCGUGGGUAGCAAACAGG